rnacentral:rRNA from 1 species
GAUGAACGCUGGCGGCGUGCUUAACACAUGCAAGUCGAACGGGGAUGUCAUUUUUGAAGUGAUCAGUUUACUGAGAAUGGAAAUGCUGGCAUCCUAGUGGCGGACGGGUGAGUAACGCGUGGGGAACCUGCCUUAGACAGGGGGAUAACACUUAGAAAUAGGUGCUAAUACCGCAUAAGCGCACAGGACCGCAUGGUCAGGUGUGAAAAGGAGAAGCCUUCGGCAUCUCCGGUGUAAGAUGGACCCGCGUCUGAUUAGCUGGUUGGUGGGGUAACGGCCCACCAAGGCGACGAUCAGUAGCCGGCCUGAGAGGGUGGACGGCCACAUUGGGACUGAGACACGGCCCAA